rnacentral:rRNA from 1 species
AUGCCCAUGCAGCUGUGGUCGUUGGAGGGCGCGGUCGAGGCGCUCGGCGACCUCUUCAUCGUCGACCGCCUGGACAGCCGCACCCACGAGCGGGGGCACACCAAGACGUUCUCCUGCUGGGUCUGGGCAGCCGACGUCGCGCACAUCCCCACCAAGUGUACGCUCUGGCGCGCGGCCCGUGGCGCAGGAAGGGUGGAGGCCAUGCUGGGGUUCUCGCCCCCGAGCCCGACAGGUCGCCCCGCCCCCGGUGUCCGGCGUCGGGAGCUGUUGGUGCACGUUGACCGGAUCGAAGAUUGGACGCCCUGCACGUCGCAAUCUUCCAGCUCGCACCAGAGCGGCCUCCCCUCGUCGGGAUCGGGGGAGGAGCGCCCCUUCCCGGCGGUCUACCCGGGGACGUGGACCAGGCACGUCGAGGACGGGCAGGGACGUCGCCAGCCUCCUGCGGUGCCUCCUCCAGCUGCCACGGCCUGCAGUGUGGAGGCGGCCGUCGGGACCACGAUGACCACGACAACAGCCGCGGGGGCAGGCGCUCCUGGGCGGACACGCUGCUCGGACGGGGCCACUCCAACAAGGCACCAGUGGUGGCCAAGGAUUGCCCCCAGCAGAAGCGUCAACGCAGUCGCACCCCCACCAGUCGGCACCGCGGCAUGGGCUGCCACAGGCGCUAGGUUGCAAUCCGCGCCACCCCUCCCCUGCCCCUGCGUCGCGCGCCCUCCCCGCCUCCACCCCCUCCUCCGCCCCCGGCGAACCGCAGACCCGACCCCGUCGUCGACUUCUUCACCAACGAAGAAAACCAGCUCCCGCCCCCACCUCGCAUCGAGCUUGGGCAGGCCGAGCUCGAGGAGGCCAUCGCCGGUGCGCUUGCUGCCCCACUCGAUUUCAGAGGGGGCGAUGCACACGUCUCCAGCGUGGACGAGCCGGCGCCUGGUGGGCCCCUGCAUGCAACCCAGCUCGGUCCAGGCAUGCAGGACCGCUCCGCCCCCACCCACGACAGCAACUGAGCUCGGGGCGGUGACUCACCAGGUCGAGCAGCUGCAGCUUGGGCGUGAUGGCGCCGCCGCGCAGCUGCUCUUCCGCGAGACUCCUCCCCACUCAUGGAGGCGCCCCCACCGACACGGCGGCCCUCCGCCCCUCCCAAGACAUGUGCGCCAUCGGUCCCCGUCCGGCACAGCGCAAGGCAGGCGGCCAACCCUUCCUCCACUCCUAUCGCGCAGCGGGCCACCCUCCGGCUGGUUCAGGAGCUCGGGGUCGUGGGGCCAAAGGAGCGAAUGA